rnacentral:lncRNA from 1 species
UUGCGGGUUUAAAAAGUAUGUAUGCCAAGGCUUUGCUCUUAGCUCAAUAAAGGUGCCACCCAGUACUAAAACUUUGCAGAUUUUCAAAGGAAAAACCAGAAGUUAUAAAAAUCACUGUACAUGGUGGUUGAUUGUGUAUCUCAAGCAAUUGUGACAAAAAUCUGCCCUGGUGAAAUCAAGUUAACUGUCCCAUAAUAGUUAAUGAUGAACUGGAGAAACAAUUUUGACUAU